rnacentral:rRNA from 1 species
GAUGAACGCUAGCUACAGGCUUAACACAUGCAAGUCGAGGGGUAACGAGAGGAAAGCUUGCUUUCCUUGUCGACGACCGGCGCACGGGUGAGUAACGCGUAUCCAACCUGCCCCCAACUAGGGAAUAACCUUGCGAAAGUAAGACUAAUACCCUAUAAUUUCCUCAGAUGUCAUCUGACGAGGAAUAAAGAUUUAUCGGUUGUGGAUGGGGAUGCGUCUGAUUAGCUUGUUGGCGGGGUAACGGCCCACCAAGGCAACGAUCAGUAGGGGUUCUGCGCGAAAGGUCCCCCACAUUGGAACUGGGACACGGUCCAAACUCCUACGGGAGGCAGCAGUGAGGAAUAUUGGUCAAUGGGCGGAAGCCUGAACCAGCCAAGUAGCGUGCAGGAUGACGGCCCUAUGGGUUGUAAACUGCUUUUAUACUGGAAUAAAGUUAGCCACGUGUGGUUAUUUGUAGGUACUGUAUGAAUAAGGACCGGCUAAUUCCGUGCCAGCAGCCGCGGUAA